rnacentral:rRNA from 1 species
UACGGAGGGGGCUAGCGUUGUUCGGGAUUACUGGGCGUAAAGCGCGCGUAGGCGGACCUGCAAGUCGGGGGUGAAAGCCCGAGGCUCAACCUCGGAACUGCCUUCGAUACUGCGGGUCUCGAGUCCGGGAGAGGUGAGUGGAAUUCCUAGUGUAGAGGUGAAAAUUCGUAGAUAUUAGGAAGAACACCAGUGGCGAAGGCGGCUCACUGGCCCGGUACUGACGCUGAGGCGCGAAAAGCGUGGGGGAGCAAACAGGG